rnacentral:lncRNA from 1 species
GAGAAACAAAAAAAAUCUUUAUUUUUUUACAAAAGUUUUCAUAAAUGCAUUGUAUAUUUGAUAUGCAUGCUAUUAUAACAAAGCAACUAAAAAUAUAAUUACAGUUAAUAUACUUUUAUGCAUAUUUAAAAGGUAACUUUUAAAUUUCCUCAAUUUUUAAAAAUUGAAAGUAGAAUAAGCAAUUCUUCAAAAAAUAUCCAUUUCCCCUUCAUGCAACUGCUGCAGUGACUUAACAAGAAAAAUAAAAAUAAUCUGUCGAAUGUUUAAAAGCCACUGUCACCCCAUGAAAACCUUUCGUUUGGACCAAGUUUAGAAGUGCUUGCCUCCAGGUAAUAUGUAUCUAUUGCCUCUGGGUUAUAACCAUUUAUGUGUUCUCAUUAGGGCUUUGUCCUCACUUGAAUGCUAAUUCCAUUCUUACUGUGGUUAACUGUAGAUUCACAGAAAGGACCUUGUAGCAUACUUAGAAAAUUCUGACUACCGGGAUCAUGUUUUUCUUUUCACGUAUAUGCUUUCUUAAAAUAGAAACAGGCAAGAAAAUAUACCAACUUAAUUCAACAUAUAGUUUAUCAAUUUUAUAUAUA